rnacentral:rRNA from 1 species
GAUGAACGCUGGCGGCGUGCCUAAUACAUGCAAGUCGAGCGAAUGGAUUAAGAGCUUGCUCUUAUGAAGUUAGCGGCGGACGGGUGAGUAACACGUGGGUAACCUGCCCAUAAGACUGGGAUAACUCCGGGAAACCGGGGCUAAUACCGGAUAACAUUUUGAACCGCAUGGUUCGAAAUUGAAAGGCGGCUUCGGCUGGCACUUAUGGAUGGACCCGCGUAGCAUUAGCUAGUUGGUGAGGUAACGGCUCACCAAGGCAACGAUGCGUAGCCGACCUGGGAGGGUGAUCGGCCACACUGGGACUGAGACACGGCCCAGACUCCUACGGGAGGCAGCAGUAGGGAAUCUUCCGCAAUGGACGAAAGUCUGACGGAGCAACGCCGCGUGAGUGAUGAAGGCUUUCGGGUCGUAAAACUCUGUUGUUAGGGAAGAACAAGUGCUAGUUGAAUAAGCUGGCACCUUGACGGUACCUAACCAGAAAGCCACGGCUAACUACGUGCCAGCCGCCGCGGUAA